GGGGACAUAGCUCAGUGGUCGAGUGCUUGCCUAGCAUGCUCAGUGAGGCCUUGAUCGUCAGCUCUCCAAGAACCCAACCGAUUAACCAAACACCAACUAGGAUUAAAAUGCUUUUGUAAAGUACUUCUUUAGCUCUUCAGGUCCUGCCUUAGCUUGUAUCUCUCUUUGAUUUUCAAUUUAUUAAGAGUGAGCAGGGGAAGGACAAUGCUGGGAUGGUACUUCCUCAUGGCUUAACUGUAAAUGCACUUCGAUUCACCUGAUGUAAUUGUCAUCUCAGAGGCUUAUUGCUGAAUAAGCUCACCAUUUCUAGUUCUUUCUGAACUCUGGCUGGCUGCUACAGCUCAGCUCGUUAGGCUUAAACUCCUCUCCAUGCUGACUGACUCAAUCUGGCUUCUCUCAGUUUCUCAUUGAAUUGUUCGGCUUGGCCUCAAACUCACUCUGGCCAUUCAUUCUAUCUCUGGCUCACUCUUAUUCUCUGGGUUCCACUGCCUCUGCUGACCUGCACUGGAUGGCAUAAACUCAACUCCACUGCACUGCACUCACUGUGUUGACUCCCAACUGACUGACUCCUCCUGCGAUGUUCUUAAAUAGCAUCUCCCUGUGCUGUUCUCGUGAGAGUUGGGCAUAUUCUAGCCCUGACUCAUACUGUCAGACCUUUCUGAUUUGUCACUUUGUCUGCCCCUCAAACGUCACUCUCAAACAUGACUGCUUCCUUCUACAAACCAACUUUACCUCCAUUGUUAGGAAUUAAAGGUGUGUACUGAAGGUGUGUCUGUAUUCCAGUCAGAAGGAUUAAAGGUAUGUCAUUCCAGCUGGAUCAUGGAUUGAAAUUCCUCUACACUUAAUAAAUCUGUGCCAAUGGCUUGGUCUCUUCCUGCUUUGUAUCGCUCUUAGAAAGUUUGUUCUGCCACAGCAGUGAGUUAGACGUGACGGAAAGCCUCCCCGAGGAAGAACUGGAGGGCUGUGUGGAGUGGUAACAUGUUAAUGACGAGCAGGAGGAUGUUUCGGUCACGGCUCUAAGCAAUGAUAUUUACAAAUGUAUUUUUCCUUAAAUUUGCUUUGGCUGAUACUUGACUGUUGAUUUCAUUUAGUGAUGUGGUCUGAUCCAAGGUCCCACUGCCUAGGAAACUGAAGAUAGCAGUGAAGAUGCUUCCAUCCACAUUUGCCCGUCCUCUGGUUCUCUCUACUGAAUACUGUGAUAACCAAUAGGUAAAAACAUUCAGAACAGAACAGUGAUUCUAUGUGUUUACCACCUCACUGUACUUUGUUAUGGUUCUGAAAAAGAUGAAGGACCACUAGGAUGUUCCCAGUGAGUGAGAUGCUGUCUUGAUCACAGUGCUCCACUGCACUCUAUGUGCAUACUGCAUUUCAAAAUACUCUGAAGGCAGUAUCUGUGGGCUAGCAUUUUAGCUGUAUGUCUUAGGGUUUCACUGCUGUGAACAACCACCAUGACCAAGGCAAACUCUUAUGAAGGAGAACAUGUAAUUGAGGCUGGCUUACAGGUUCAGAGGUUCAGUCCAGUAUCAUCAAGAUGGGAGCUUGGCAGCAUCCAGGAAGGCAUGGCAACAGAAAGAGUUGAGAGUUCUACAUCUUCAUCCAAAGGAAGCUAAAGAGUAGACUGGCUGCCAUGUGGUUAGUAGGAGGGUCUCAUUGCCCAUCCCGAUGACAGUGCCACAUUUCCUCCAACAAGGCCACACCUACUCCAGUAAGGCCACACCUCCUAAGAGUGCCAUUCCCUGGUCCAAGCAUAUUCACUGUAAGAUGGAGAGAGUUGUGCUCAUGUGGACUCAGAUACACAGCUUUCCCUCAGAGUUUGUUAUUCACACAGGCAGUAUUGUAGCUGGCAUGGGGGAAUUUUCAGAAUUGCAGGUGUAAUUCCAGAUCCUAUUCAGAUGCGCCUGGCUUUUAUUUUUUAUUUUAUAUUUUUUGAAAUCAUGCUUAAUCCUGUAUGUCUAUUGAUAUAAAUAUAGUUAUAUAUUUUUUCCUGGCCACUAUAUCAUCAGUUGUCUUUGUUUCGAUACAAUUCAAUAUUUUUAUUUGACAUUUCUGGGUGUCCCAUGACAUAGAAAAUGGUGCUAUAAUUGUUUUUUGUCUUUCUUGUCUUAAAGAGGACCAGCAUUUCCCCCCUGCUGGCACACACUCUUUGUAACGACCUUCUUUUUUUUUUUCUGUUUUGCUUUGUUGAACUAUUGAUGCGCAUAGAAUGAGAGGCUGCAAAUUCUGCUUUUAGAUUUUCCAGUUUAAGGAUGAUAACUACUUUGCAUGUUUUAGAUUGGUACAGUGGCUCAAGUGCCAUUACAUAUUCGUGAGGCAUUAUUCUCACAUGGUAGAUUUAGGAUACUCACAGUAACAAUGUCUCUGUCACACUCUUCCAUGGCAGAUUUUACAGAAUACCAACAGGUGUGAUGGGAGACAUCAAAGUCUGCCCUAUUAUUGGCCAAGGUUAGCCAACUGCAGAUAUUGUCAUUGAUGUAGGACUUAGCAUGGCAAUGAUAAUGUAUAUCCUAGAGUUAAGCUAUAGAAAUGAUAUUCUAUUCCUUCCAUGCCUUUUGGUUGCCACAAUAUUCUUUAGAUUAUGUCUCUCUGGGAGUUUUCCAAUGACAUUGUUUUGGUAAAGUUACUUUAAGCUAAUACACCAUCUUAAAGUAAAGUGAAAACAUGGAACUUUGUCACACAGUAAAAUGUAUUUAUUCAAUUGAUUUAAAAGUAUAUAGUAGGC
rnacentral:lncRNA from 1 species